CAAUCUCUGGCCAUCUGAAUACUAAGAUCUGAGGCCUGAGAGUAGAAUGAUUUUUCCUUUUUCUCUGGGCCAGUAGCAUGGGAUUCUCUAGGCAAGUCAAAGUCAUUACUUUGAUUGGUUCCUGUCUCUCCAACAACUUUAACCUCUACCUCAAUGCUUUCCAUAUCAUUGUUGGCAACCACAUCCUGGACCUUUGACUCUCCCACAUUCAUGCACUGACUAAUUUGAGAAUUCUCAGAGGACGAGGCAGCUCUGGAUAGUAUUUCUGAUGGGGUUAUAAGAUGGGUUGGGUGUUUAAACAUUACAGGAGAUUCAGGAACCACUGAGAUGUCAGUUUGUGCAAUGUUUUUCUCACCCUUCCUCAAAUUGUCACCUGAAGGGAUAUCAGCCAUGUUUUCCUUUGCAGUAUCCAUUCUGUGCUCGACCAAAUAAUCAAGGCCAGGCUGGUCAACAUGAUCACUAGGUUGCAUACUAGGCUCAAUGCUAUUUGAUGGACCUUGGAAACCUGACAAUUUUCGAGAUAACUGUGGACUCAAUGGAAGUGAAGGAGACACAGUGUUGAGAUUUCCAAUACUAUUUUGAGAUGGCAAAGCACUAGCCUUGGUUUCUACAACUGAAGUAGCACUAUCUGGUAAGGUGUUAACCUCAGCAGAAGUCAAGCUUUCAGGAUGGCUUGCUGCGGGAGCGUUUUCAGAACUGCUUGAAACCAUAGGUUGUAUGGGAGUCCCUUUUCCUAUGGGAACGUCAACUGUUUUACUUCCAUGAGAUGAUUCCGUGAUAGUGGAACCAUCAGAACUAGCAGCAUAAAAAACAUGAGAAACAUUGGAUUCUGUUUUCUCCAACUCCACGUUCUCCAGUGGCGGUGGUAGGCACUGUGACAAAUCCAAUGC
rnacentral:misc_RNA from 1 species